UCAUCCCAGAGACUGAUGCCGUGGGUGU
rnacentral:piRNA from 1 species